GGGUCCGCACAAGCGGUGGAGCAUGUGGUUUAAUUCGAUGAUACGCGAGGAACCUUACCUGGGCUCGAAUUCAUAGUGAAUUAUCCAGAAAUGGGUAAGUCUUCGGACACUAUGGAAGGUGCUGCAUGGCUGUCGUCAGCUCGUGCCGUGAGUGUUGGGUUAAGUCCCCGCAACGAGCGCAACCCCUACUGUUAGUUGCCAGCAUUUCGGAUGGGGACUCUAACAGGACUGCCUACGCAAGUAGAGAGGAAGGAGGGGACGACGUCAAGUCAUCAUGGCCCUUACGCCCAGGGCUACACACGUGCUACAAUGGGAGAUACAGAGGGUAGCUACAUAGCAAUAUG
rnacentral:rRNA from 1 species